AGAGAGAGACAUGCGCGCAUAUCAAUAAGCGGAGGAAAAGAAACUAACUAGGAUUCCCUCAGUAACGGCGAGUGAAGCGGGAAGAGCUCAAAUUUGAAAUCUUAAAGGUUUCCCUUGACGAAUUGUAGUUUAAAGAAGUGUUUUCUGUUGGAGUUUUGGUAAAAGUUCUUUGGAAUAGGACAUCAUAGAGGGUGAGAAUCCCGUAUUUGACCAUUAUUUCCAGCUUUGUGAUACACUUUCAAAGAGUCGGAUUGUUUGGGAAUGCAGUCCAAAAUGGGUGGUAAAUUUCAUCUAAAGCUAAAUAUUGGCGAGAGACCGAUAGCGAACAAGUACCGUGAGGGAAAGAUGAAAAGAACUUUGAAAAGAGAGUUAAACAGUACGUGAAAUUGUCAAAAGGGAAGCGUUUGACACCAGUGUUGUCUUCUCGAAAAUCAAUUAAAAAAGGCAGGAUUUUGUGUUGUAUUGACUUUAUCAGCUUUCUGCACUUCUUUUCUUGUCUUUUUUAAUGCACUUUUCGUUUAACAAGUCAACAUCAAUUUCUUUUGUUGUAAAAGGGUCAUUGGAAGGUGGCUUUCUUUUCGGAGAAAGUGUUUAUAGCCUUUGGCCUCUGCAAUCGGAGAGAUUGAGGUCUGCAGCGUAGAUCCUUCGGGGCUAGAUACAUUUGUGCUAAGUUAUAGCAUUUAUAGACAACUUGUUGACUAUGAUUCAGUCAUAGUAGCUUACUCGCUUAUGUUAUUUUACCUACGCUUAGGAUGUUGAUGUGAUACUGCGAGC
rnacentral:rRNA from 1 species